UGUAAUUUAAAAAGUGGUUAAAGUUUUUCGGCACAACGAAAUCAAAAUUAUAUUUUUUUGAGCACUGUAAGAACUUGGAGAAUUAUAUUGAAUAUAAUUUGAAAUUUGGCAAGAACCUUACGAUUACUCUUACUGUAUUUGAUAAGCUAACAUACUUCAAAUUUGCAUCAAAAACUGACUUGCUUUUAUUACUUUAUACUGGAACGUUCUGGAGAAUAGUAAUUUAGCGCAUAAUUGCCAGGACUCAUUUAAAGCCGUACAUUACAAACAUCAAAAUGAGUGCUAUAGAAAACCCAGCCAAAAAACGUAAAGUCAAUUUGAAAGAGCAAGUUGUGCAUUCACGUCAUAUUGUAGGUGACAGUAGAGCUGUAAAUAAGCAAUUUAGGGUGGGCUUUUCAAAGCCCUCCAGUAGUAUCGAAUCUAUGCAAUAUUCGGUUAAUGAAGUCACUGGUAAAGUUUUGGAUCAUCUCCGUAAGCCCAGCAGUAUCGACUGGAGACAGAGACUUUUACUUUUCUUACAUAUUCUUCGACAGAACCAAAAGCAACAAAGGGAGAGAGAGGAAAAGUGCAAGCACACGUAGGGAAUAAACAUACGAUCCCUAUCGUCGAUAGUACAUAGAACAGGAAAUGUGCCUUAAUAUAAUCGGAACGUUUGAGAUAAUAAGAAACUCCAAAGCAAGGUUAUGCAUGCCUUUUUAAAUUACGAAAUUUAAGGUGAAAUAAUAUGAACCAAAAUUAUAAUGAAACCAAAAUUUGAAUCCUUAUAGGUCCAACUACAGACAUUGGUCACCAGAAGCAUUAACGUAGGACGAGAGCAUAUAGAAAUUUGUGUCAAUUUGUUUCUUGUGCAGAGCACGUAAAAUUAAUUGCCAUUAAAAAUAUUUAAAACUUAUUCAAAAUUAAAUUACUUGAAUAAAUUAU